ensembl:lncRNA novel transcript, antisense to PROP1
ACAGGGUAUCACCAGACUCCUGGGACCUCCGCCUCCCGGGAUGGUCUCCAUCUCCUGACCUCGUGAUCCGCCUGCCUCUGUCUCCCAAAGUGCUGGGAUUACAGGCCUGAGCCACCGCGCCCGGCCAGAUGGGCUCAAGGACAGCUUGCCUGACUGCAGCCAUAAGGAUGAAGCCUCUUCAGGUAGAGAAGGACUCCAGGUGGGGCCUGUGCAGAGGGUUCUUACGGGCGCAGUAGGAUUGGGGCUAUAAAAUCAGUAAAUGGAAAAGGAGCCAGGUGC